UUGCAAUGCGGCGUGCUAAUACAUGCAGUCGAGCGGACAGAAGGGAGCUUGCUCCCGGAUGUUAGCGGCGGACGGGUGAGUAACACGUGGGUAACCUGCCUGUAAGACUGGGAUAACUCCGGGAAACCGGAGCUAAUACCGGAUAGUUCCUUGAACCGCAUGGUUCAAGGAUGAAAGACGGUUUCGGCUGUCACUUACAGAUGGACCCGCGGCGCAUUAGCUAGUUGGUGGGGUAAUGGCUCACCAAGGCGACGAUGCGUAGCCGACCUGAGAGGGUGAUCGGCCACACUGGGACUGAGACACGGCCCAGACUCCUACGGGAGGCAGCAGUAGGGAAUCUUCCGCAAUGGACGAAAGUCUGACGGAGCAACGCCGCGUGAGUGAUGAAGGUUUUCGGAUCGUAAAGCUCUGUUGUUAGGGAAGAACAAGUGCGAGAGUAACUGCUCGCACCUUGACGGUACCUAACCAGAAAGCCACGGCUAACUACGUGCCAGCAGCCGCGGUAAUACGUAGGUGGCAAGCGUUGUCCGGAAUUAUUGGGCGUAAAGGGCUCGCAGGCGGUUUCUUAAGUCUGAUGUGAAAGCCCCCGGCUCAACCGGGGAGGGUCAUUGGAAACUGGGAAACUUGAGUGCAGAAGAGGAGAGUGGAAUUCCACGUGUAGCGGUGAAAUGCGUAGAGAUGUGGAGGAACACCAGUGGCGAAGGCGACUCUCUGGUCUGUAACUGACGCUGAGGAGCGAAAGCGUGGGGAGCGAACAGGAUUAGAUACCCUGGUAGUCCACGCCGUAAACGAUGAGUGCUAAGUGUUAGGGGGUUUCCGCCCCUUAGUGCUGCAGCUAACGCAUUAAGCACUCCGCCUGGGGAGUACGGUCGCAAGACUGAAACUCAAAGGAAUUGACGGGGGCCCGCACAAGCGGUGGAGCAUGUGGUUUAAUUCGAAGCAACGCGAAGAACCUUACCAGUCUUGACAUCCUCUGACACCCUAGAGAUAGGGCUUUCCCUUCGGGACAGAGUGACAGUGGUGCAUGGUUGUCGUCAGCUCGUGUCGUGAGAUGUUGGGUUUA
rnacentral:rRNA from 1 species